UCUAGCGUCAAUUCACCAAAAAAUUAAAAAAAAGAAGAAGAUAAUAAUCAAAAGCCCCAACUCUUGGCUUUAACCUUCAACCCAACCCUCAAAACCGACCAUGAAUCUCCACUUUCUUCAUCAUCAUCCUCGUUGUCGAGACUGGUUCCCAAGCUCGAUCUCUCCCAAAUCGACUUCUUCCUCUCCUCUCGCGAUUCUUAGCUUCACGUCCUCAGCGAUCUUGAAUGCCCUCUCAACUCAUCCCUUUCUCUGGGUUUCAUCGCCCAAACACCCUGAUACAGGUCACUUUCUGAUCCUGAAGAAAUGGCACAAGAUGAUGAGGCCAACCAAGAUGAUGUAGCUAAACAUAUCACCAGGGAAGAUACAGUGAAAGCAGAGCUGUGGUUCUUGCCACUGCUCUCCUUGUUUCCCUCUCACUUCACUUGGAAACAAUUGACACAGUUACUUUCGCUGUCGAUGAUUCUUUAGGAUGGGAUUUUAGUGUUAGAAGCUGGACAAAUGGGAAGUAAUUCAAGCUCGAGUAUAUGCUAAGAACCAAUUCCUGUCACUCAACUUGUAAAGGAAACUGCUGCUAUUAUGCAGGAGUUCACACAGUCAGAAUUGUAACAUGUGAGGUGCAUUUGCCUAACAGAUGGUUCAGAUGAUGAGUAUGAGCCCAAUAGUAGCAGUGACGAUGAUCUGGUGAUAGCUAGUUUUUGAGGACUUUGAUGAAUAGAUUUCUAUAAUCUUUGAAUAGUUUUGGAUUUUGUUUACAAACUUAUAUAUGAUAUAGUUUUGGAUGGUUUAUAACUUUUGGAUAAUUUAGAACUUAAGGAUAGUCCUUUUGGAUGGUUUUGAACUUACGGUUAGUUUUUGGAUGUUUGGAAUGUAUUAACAAUUUUUGAAUGUUCAUAAUUUAUGGAUGUGAUUAUUUUUUAUGCUUGA